GAUGAACGCUGGCGGCGUGCCUAAUACAUGCAAGUCGAGCGAACACACCAGGAGUUUGCUCCUCUGACGUUAGCGCCGGACGGGUGAGUAAUAUGUGGAUAACCUACCUAUAAGACUGGGAUAACUUCGGGAAAUCUGAGCUAAUACCGGAUAAUAUAUUGAACCGCAUGCUUCAAUAGUGUAAGACGGUUUUUUUUUCACUUAUAGCUCGCUCCGCGCCGCAUUAGCUAGUUGGUAAGGUAGAGGCUUACCAAGGCGACGAUGCGUAGCCGACCUCAGAGGGUGGUCGGGCACCCGGGAACUGAGACACGCUCCAGACUCCGACAGGAGGCAGCAGUAGGGAAUCUUCCGCAAUGGGGGAAAGGCUGACGGAGCAACGCCGGGUGAGUGAUGAAGGUCUUCGGAUCGUAAAACUCUGUUAUUAGGGAAGAACAAAUGUGUAAGUAACGAUGCACAUCUUGACGGUACCUAAUCAGAAAGCCACGGCUAACUACGUG
rnacentral:rRNA from 1 species